AUGUCACAAGGCUCAGAUCACCUCCACCUGCUUUCUAGAACAUGACAAUGAGUUCACUGGACUCCAAUGACCUUCACAGCCACCAGAUCUCAGUCCAGUAGAGCAGCUUUGGGAUGUGGUGGAACGGGAGAUUCUCAUCAUGGAUGCAGCCG